CACAAUUUCAUUGUCCAGUUGUUUGCUGAUCUCUUUGUGCUUCAGAGUAAAAGGUUUUAGUCUUUGUGUGUGUUAAGCACUAAGCAGUGAUGAACGACCCUAAGUACCCAUAUGCUUACCCUGCCCAAGGUUAUUAUCAAGGACCCCCAGUGAUGGCACCUCCGCAAUAUGCUGCUGCACCACCCAGGAGAGCAGAACCAGGUUUCCUUGAGGGAUGUUUAGCGGCUCUCUGUUGCUGUUUCCUAAUUGACGAGUGUUGCUGCGACCCAUCCAUAAUCUUUAUGUGCUGAUCAUCAUCCUGCAUGUAAUUUCAUGCACGUACGAAUAUUUCCCGCUUAUAAAUAGUAUCAUGCUCGAAGAAGUUGUUAUUGCUGAUCAGUUAAAUUCACGCGUGCGUACAUGUAUGUAGACUUUGUUUUAAAUUCGCAGUUUCUAUGUCUAUCGAUCUUCGUAUGGUGUAGUUUCUCAGAGACUAUAUAUAAUAUUCAUCAAUUUCUCUUUAUAA